ACAUACGGCCAUAGGCAGUAGAGAAUAUCGCGUCCCGUCUGCUCCGCGGAAAUCAAGCUACUGACCGGCAGAUUAGUAGUUGGGUCGGUGACGACCAGCGAACACCGGCUGCUGUAUGUU
rfam:Beauveria bassiana D1-5 contig00719, whole genome shotgun sequence.